UCUCCAGUGGCGCAAUGGGUUAGCGCGCGGUACUUAUAAGUCAGUACUUGUGAGCUAUGCCGAGGUUGUGAGUUCGAAUCUCACCUGGGGAA
rfam:Ixodes scapularis strain Wikel colony gcontig_1108379617152, whole genome shotgun sequence.